rnacentral:misc_RNA from 1 species
AAGUCGUAACAAGGUUUCCGUAGGUGAACCUGCGGAAGGAUCAUUAUUGAAUUAUGUUUCUAGAUGGGUUGUAGCUGGCUCUUUGGAGCAUGUGCACGCCUGUUUGGAUUUCAUUUCAUCCACCUGUGCACUUAUUGUAGUCUUUGAUUUGGGUAUUGAGGAAGUGGUCAGCCUAUCAGCAUUCGCUGGAUGUGAGGAGUUUGCAGUGUAAAAGCAUUGCUGUCCUUUACUUGGCCAUGGAGUCUUUUGCCUGCCAAAGUCUAUGUUAUUCAUUAUACCCUGUCGAAUGUUAUUGAAUGUCUUUACAUGGGCUUUCAUGCCUAUGAAAAUUAUAAUACAACUUUCAGCAACGGAUCUCUUGGCUCUC